rnacentral:rRNA from 1 species
AACGAACGCUGGCGGCAUGCCUAACACAUGCAAGUCGAACGAGACCUUCGGGUCUAGUGGCGCACGGGUGCGUAACGCGUGGGAACCUGCCUUUAGGUUCGGAAUAACUCAGAGAAAUUUGAGCUAAUACCGGAUAAUGUCUUCGGACCAAAGAUUUAUCGCCUUUAGAUGGGCCCGCGUUGGAUUAGCUAGUUGGUGGGGUAAAGGCCUACCAAGGCGACGAUCCAUAGCUGGUCUGAGAGGAUGAUCAGCCACACUGGGACUGAGACACGGCCCAGACUCCUACGGGAGGCAGCAGUGGGGAAUAUUGGACAAUGGGCGAAAGCCUGAUCCAGCAAUGCCGCGUGAGUGAUGAAGG